CAGAGGCACCAGGCACCCCAGAGAGCAUGCCGUUUGACUCAUCUCUUUACAGCUAGAAAACUGAGGCCUCCCGAAGUGCCACGUGUCCUUGAAGGCCUCCACAGCUGAUUGGCCACCCACAGACACCUGACCCAGGCUGGGCCGACCCUAUCUAUUAUCUCCUCCGGAGAUUUCUGGGAUGGAAGACCCCAGAGCCUGUGGCGUUAGCUGUGGGAGCGGAGCUGCGAGGUCAGGAGACUCGGGGCGGAUGCUCCCACCAUUCUGAAACAACCACAAAGGGCUUUGUGCAAAAAGACGUGUGACCAGAAGUCAGGCUGUGGAGAAAGAGAAGGAAGAAGCCCUGCAGGGAAUGAGAGGCCACGAGGUCCCUCUCCACCAGUGAGGCGGGCAGGUGAGCUCCACCAUCCCCACCAGCACACCCUCCCAGGCCUCCUCCGCUUCCCCGUUCCCAGCACCCACAGCCACGCCUUGAUUCCAGAGUUCCUGCCUCUCCACCAUCAACGCAAGCGAUAUCCCUUCGCCUGCCACACGUCUGGCCGCAAGCUGGUAGGCCCCGCGCCCCGGAUGGGACUGUCAAUCAUAUGGCCCCCACCGCCCCAGCCCAGGUUGACCAAUCAAAACGUUCCGAUGCCAGCGGGCUCCGUGAUUGGCAGGGGAGGGGGUGGGCACAGGACCCAGGCCGACAGGCCCUCCUGUUGCUCCAGAGGAAGACUGACAGGUCCAAGGUCAGGCCUGGGUCGCACGGCCCGCCGCCGCCCCCAGCCUUCGCCUCCGAGGUCUCCGUGGCAGCGGCAAAAACAAAGAUGGCGGACCGUUCCGGCCGUCGACCCCGUUAGCGCGGUGACGUACAUCACUUCCUCUCAAAGCCUAUUGGCCAGAACUAGUCACAUGGCCCGCCUAGCUGCAAGGGAGGCUGGAAACAGGAGACGGCCUUUCAGUCCUGGAUGAGGAUGCGCCGGCUGCUGGGAGCCACUGGAGACCCCAGGAAAACGCCCCAACUCCUCAGGACUGCGUUCAGAGGAGGAGAGACGCCACUGAUAGCUGGGACUCCAGCGUGCCCUUAUGACCUUGUGGGAGAUCUCUGAAGUUUGAGGAAGGUUUGCAAGUGAGAGCAGGAUGGACCUUCCAAACCUGCCUCUCAGCACGGGCACCAGCUCCCCCCUAGAGAUGAUGUGACCCCUAAGAAGAGAGAGGAUAAAUCUACAGAGUACACAGCAGGGUGGCAGUUACCUGUCCUGCUGCUCAGAUGAGGGAACUGAACGAAGCGAGGUAAGCAUUUUCUCUGGGUCAGGUAACGGCUCUGAUGCCAGAACCCAAGGCUCCUGACCUCUGGUUAACGGUCUGUCUACUAACCCAGCGCACAUCCCCUAAGGGUGAUGGGUUGGAGUCUGGCCUUUGACCAUCACAAGCUCCGAGGACAAACUCGCUUAUGCUAUGGGUACUAAGGGACUCAGCGGUCAGCCCAGCGCCCCCUGGACGCACAAACACACACAGACCGGGCCAUGGUAUCCGCCUUUCUAACAGCAGAAAUGAUAGCGGGCCCAGCUGGUCUCCGAGUACUGGCCCAGCACUCUGCAGGCGCUACCUCACUCCGUCCUAAGGGGCAGGAGUUGUCACCAAUCCCACUUUCCAGAUGAAGGAAAUGAGGCUCUCCUCGCAGGGAGCAGAACUCAGACAAAGGUGCGCACCCGCAAGGCUUACCACUUGGUACCACGUCGACCUAGUUCAACACUCAAGGUAAAUAUGGCCCCUGAGAAGCCACCUGAACCCCUUCCCUCCACGAGAUGGCCUGCAGGACCCUAACCCAGCAUACAGGUCCUGGAAUCUGGGAGUUUUCAAGCCCGAUCAUCUGACCAGCCCUGCAAACUGCAGCCCAGCCCAGGAUGCCAGAGAAGCAGCCACCACAGUCUCCUCACCGUCACUCACCUGGACUCAGGUGACAGCUCAGCUGCCCCACCCUAGGCCACACACGCAUCAUUCCCCACGUGCACCGCCACACAGGCCACCUAAGUUCUCUCUCUCUCUCCUCCUACCACUGCCUCUCACUCCAUCCAGUCCCCAUGAGGCAACCAGGAGAAACCUGGCAAGCUUAAGACCCUUUCAAAACUGGCCAUCAUUUUAGAAAACAAUGGAACUCCUUCAUACGGCCCACAGGGUCGUCCCUGGUUGAGUCUUACAGCCCUCCCACACAGCCAAAGUGUGUUUCUUUCAGCUGGUCUAAAUGUGCACCCCUCUCUCACCUCUGGACCUUUGCACACGCUCCUCCCUUUACCCUAACACGGUUCCCCAACCUCUGCUAACUACUGUAAUCCCUUAGGGCUCGGCUUAAACAUCAGUACUCAUCAGAGGCCUUCCCCAUCACUCUCCCACCCCGGGUCCCAGGGGAGCUCCCUCUUUUCCCUUCUACGAUGCCCCCAUUUCCCUUCUGGAACCCUUACUGAGCUUGCUCUUGACUUUUUUUAUAUAUAUCUGUCUCCCUUGCUGGACUAUAAGCCCCAGGAGGGCAGAGACAGCAUCUGCCUUGCUCUUCACUGUGUUGUAUUCUUAACUCCAAGCCCAUUGGCGUCUUGUUCCUAAAGGAGACCAAUAAAUAUCAAAUGAAGAAAGAAAGAAAGGAGGAGAAGAAGGAGAGAAGGAAGAAAGGGGAGGUCUGGUCUUGUAAGAACUGCCUCCCCUUUCUCAGCUGAGCCAACAGAGGCCCUGAGACUGUCUCCAGGGACACUAAGGAGAAGGGGGGCACUUAGGCGCGUUUCUAGGUGCCAGGCAUUUCAUGGUGCCUCAUUUAAUCCUCACAGCGACAUUAGGAGCAGAGGCCAUCCCUAGCCCUGGUUGAGGAAUCUGGGGAUCAGAGAGCUGAAGCAAUUUGUCCAAGGUCACACAGCUAAUGAGCGACAGCACUGAGAACUCAAUUCAGGUCUGAAAUCAAAGACUGGGCUUUUAACCAACCCCGUACCCUGCCUCCUGGGAAGAUCCAAAUGGUCAGCUAGGAUCUUCUGCGUCCAAGCCCAAUUUUACUGAGAAAUAAAAUGAACGUGAAACUGCCUCUCUGAAGUGGAAGGAAAAGUAGUUUCAUCUUGAAAACCUUAAAAUAUAUUCACAUGAAGCCCCAAGCAAUCACUCCUAAGGAAGCUAAACCUCCCACAUCACCUGUUAUCUGAGCUAGAGAAGGGAAGUAAAAUUUUCACUUGUCAAGUGUGUAAGCCAGGAAGAUAAGGAAGGUUAGAGACGCGUGUG